ensembl:lncRNA
AAGAAAGGCCGUGACACAGAGUCUUUUACACUAUUAAACUUGUGAAGCCUCAACGUAAUCUCUUUGUGACCCUGUGAUGUUCUGAAUACAUUUUCCUCACUGUAUCGCUGUAGACAAGAUAGGAUUUUUUAGUGCCAUCAUCAGUCUGGCAUGGCUUUCAAAAGUUCAAAACACAAACCGGCCAAACAGACCCCAGCAACAAAGAAACACAAUCCAACAGGUUUAGAUGUAACAGACAUAUUGAGUAAACAUAUUUAGGAGAAGACAAACCUAGACUGGAAGCACCAACUCUGAAUCCAAAUCUUCAGCCCUGGGGUUCCUUGGAUAAGCAAUAUAAUGUUGCAGGAUGAUUUUUAAAUAUCACCCCUCUCGGUCAAUUACUUGUGGUGUGAAAGCAUUGAGUGUGUAUCCUAGAGGUGUAUCUUAGAACCCAUUUCUAUCUGUAUGUGGAACUCAGAGGAAAAUUGCUCCAUAGCUCUACUAGAGGUCAUAAACUCCCACAGGAAACCUGAUAUGUUUGCUGGAUCGAUUUUCGAACAGAUGGCGACACAAGAACAUCAAUGUAGCGGCUCUCACAGGCAAAAUGUGCAUCCUGUCUCUUCAGGUGUGUGCCGGUGUAUCAACGCUCCUCUCUUCAGGUUCUGACUCGGUUCACAGCUCAGGAUUCUUAUGGCAGAACCACACACCUCCUGGGCUCAUCUGAUUGGUUCGUGGAUGUUACGGACUUGGUCCGUAACUGGCUGAGAGUAGAGGACCCUCGAGUGGCUUCCCUUGGCGCCCACAACGACCUGAUUGGUUUACAUCCAGGAAAGACGUCGCUCCAUAUCGUCUCUGAGCAGUGGGAUGGCGUGCUGGGCAGAUGUGACAUCACUGUGACCUCUGACCCCGUAACUCCUGGGGACCUGUCUGUGCAAGUGGUCAGUGGCCUCGGCAUGUCAGUCACGGCCAACCCAACGCAUCCUUCCAUUGUAACAACCACAGUAACUGCCUACAACAUCCUCUACAACCAUCAUCAGGAAGCUUCUAUCAGUGUCUGGCUCCAAUUCAGCGAUGACACCGCCUCCCUCCUCUCCUCCUUUAGUGACCUCCCCUUCUUCUUACGUCUCUCCUCAUUGGCUGAGUCCGUGGUUGUUGUGACGCCCGGUUCCAGCCCACGUAUUUUUGCCCAAGGGGAUGGAGGCGGGCCUUUACUGCCUGCAGAACUUUUGGUUUCUACCUGCACGGACCAGCCAAUCGCCUCCAACUCCAUCAGCGAUAGGGAUUGGACGGUCACCGGUGGAGGAAGCGGCACCAGGAGGCUGGCAAAGGGAUCUGGUUGGAUAAGAGUCAACCUAGACUUGGGCUUCCUGCAGCCAGUAGGGGAUAAGGACGAUGAUGGGGAGAUGUUUGAACUCGACAUUUCAGGCGCGCCGGAUGAAUCCGACAGCAUCUAUGCAUCAAACUUUGACGAGGACAAAAGCGAGAAUGUAAACAGCGAUUAUUAUGACAAAACCAGUGGGAAGACAUCUGACAUACGCUGGAACCAGGUGGGGUACGGAGAGAUGGUCAGUCGGAACAACCUGGAAAGAGCUAUGCUGACGCCCAGCCAGGAGGAGGGCGCCGUGUACUUCUCCCCCAGCCAGGAGAAAGACGGAAAGCGGGAGGAGGAGGCGGAAGGUCAAGGAGCUCGAGAGCUUGAGGUCGGAGUGGGUGCCGUCCUCUCUCUGCUCGGUCUCUGCGCUGUCCUCUUCCUGGCAAACUGUCUGCCCUGCGCCCUGCGAGACCGGAAGAAGACAGCCAUGGAGAACGAGAGGGAAGGUGAACCAGAGGGAGGUACGAGAGAAGAUGAGGAAGACGAGUGGAAUAAAAGAGACGGUGAAGAGCAGAUGAAGCAGCAGCAUGAGACCAACAACAAAGAGUAUCGUAAAGAGGUAGAGAUCAUUUGCUGA